rnacentral:rRNA from 1 species
AGGGCGUAUGGUGGAUGCCUAGGCUCUCAGAGGCGAAGAAGGACGUGAUAAGCUGCGAAAAGCUCCGUUUAGGUGCAAAUAACCUUUGAUGCGGAGAUUUCCGAAUGGGAUAACCCAAUAUGUUGAAGACAUAUUAUACCGUAAGGUAGGCAAACGCAGGGAACUGAAACAUCUAAGUACCUGCAGGAGAAGAAAACAAACGUGAUUCCCCCAGUAGCGGCGAGCGACCGGGGAAAAGCCCAAACCGUUAUUGUUUCGGCAUUAACGGGGUAGUAGGACUGCGACAUUGAUGAAAUAAAUGAAAUGGAACACCUUGGAAAAUGUGAUCACAGAGGGUGAUAAUCCCGUACAUGCAAGUUUAUGAAUCAUAGCAGUAUCCUGAGUAAGUCGGGACACGUGUAAUCCUGACCGAAUCCGCCGGGACCAUCCGGCAAGGCUAAAUACUCCUGAGAGACCGAUAGUGAACCAGUACCGUGAGGGAAAGGUGAAAAGCACUUCGAACAGAAGAGUGAAAUAGUUCCUGAACCCAUACGCCUACAAGCUGUCGGAGCCGCUUCGUGCGGUGACGGCGUGCCUUUUGCAUAAUGAGCCUACGAGUUACUCAUCACCAGCGAGGUUAAGUACUUCAGGUACGUAAGCCGAAGCGAAAGCGAGUCUGAAUAGGGCGUCAAGUUGGUGGUGGUAGACGCGAAACCUUAGUGAUCUACCCAUGGGCAGGGUGAAGGUUUGGUAACACAAACUGGAGGCCCGAACCGGUAAACGUUGAAAAGUUUUCGGAUGACCUGUGGGUAGGGGUGAAAGGCCAAUCAAACUGGGAAAUAGCUCGUACUCUCCGAAAUGCAUUUAGGUGCAGCCUCUGUUGUUUUGUUCUAGAGGUAGAGCUACUGAUUGGAUGCGAGGGCUUCACCGCCUAUCAAAUCCGGCCAAACUCCGAAUGCUAGAACAUGAAGACAGGGAGUGAGCCAGCGGGUGCUAAGGUCCGUUGACGAAAGAGGGAGAACUCAGACCAUCAGCUAAGGUCCCCAAUUGUAUGCUAAGUUGGAAUUAAAACGGGGUGGGACUGCUUAGACAGCUAGGAUGUUGGCUUGGAAGCAGCCAUUCAUUUAAAGAGUGCGUAACAGCUCACUAGUCGAGCGGUCCUGCAUGGAUAAUACGCGGGCAUAAGCAUAUAACCGAAGCUAUGGGAUUGUAGAUGAUACAAUCGGUAGGAGAGCAUUCCAUUCAGCAUAGAAGCAGUAUCGUGAGGUAUUGUGGAGCGGAUGGAAAAGCAAAUGUAGGCAUAAGUAACGAUAAUGCGGGUGAGAACCCCGCACGCCGAAAGAUCAAGGAUUCCCCGGCAAUGUCAAUCAUCCGGGGGUAAGUCGGAUCCUAAGGGUAAGCCGAGUGGCGAUCCCGAUGGCAAACAGGUUAAUAUUCCUGUACUGAUCAUAACUGCGAUGCAGCGACGCAGAGGUGACACUGCUGCGUACUGACGGAAUAGUACGUUGAAACCCGUAUUCUUUGAUACCGGUAGUGAAGCACGCCGGUAGAGAUGAAAGGUGAUAGUACCGCAAUGCUUCGGUUGCGCGGAUAAUGCAGGUAAGCUGACUGCCAAGAAAACCUGCUAAGCUUCAGGUAAUGAUCAUCCGUACUGUAAACGGACACACGUGAUCAGGUAGAAAAUACUAAGGCGCUCGAGAGAUUCAUGGUUAAGGAACUAGGCAAAAUGGUCCUGUAACUUCGGGAUAAAGGACGCUCUUGUGAAAGAGCCGCAGAUAAUAGGCCCAGGCGACUGUUUACCAAAAACACAUGGCUAUGCUAAUUCGCAAGAAGAUGUAUAUGGCCUGACACCUGCCCGGUGCCGGAAGGUUAAGAGGAGAGCUCAGAGGUAACUCGAAGGUUUGAAUUGAAGCCCCGGUAAACGGCGGCCGUAACUAUAACGGUCCUAAGGUAGCGAAAUUCCUUGUCGGGUAAGUUCCGACCUGCACGAAUGGUGUAACGAUCUGGGCACUGUCUCGACCAUGAGCUCGGUGAAAUUGUAGUUCCGGUGAAGAUGCCGGGUACCCGCGACGGGACGGAAAGACCCCGUGAACCUUUACUGCAGCUUCGCGUUGUUCCCGGGCACGGGACGUGUAGGAUAGGUCGGAGGCCAUGAAGCGGAUUCGCCAGGAUUCGUGGAGCCAUCGUUGAAAUACGACCCUUCUCUUGUCUGGGAUCUAACCCAUGGUAAUGGGGACACCGCGUGGUGGGUAGUUUGACUGGGGUGGUCGCCUCCAAAAGCGUAACGGAGGCUUCCAAAGGUACCCUCGGGUUGGUUGGUAAUCAACCUUAGAGUGCAAUGGCACAAGGGUGCUUGACCGGGAGACCAACGAGUCGAUCGGGUGCGAAAGCAGGGCAUAGUGAUCCGGUGAUCCCGCGUGGAAGGGUCAUCGCUCAAAGGAUAAAAGGUACUCCGGGGAUAACAGGCUGAUCGCCCCCAAGAGCUCAUAUCGACGGGGCGGUUUGGCACCUCGAUGUCGGCACGUCACAUCCUGGGGCUGGAGAAGGUCCCACGGGUUCGGCUGUUCG